GGGAGGAAAUCACGUCUCAUAUAGAACAGUUUAGCAAACCACAAAUUACGUAGGACAGAAAAAAAAAUUCUUCGAAGCCCAGGAGUAAGGGCUAUGAAGAACAUUGAUAUCAAAGACAGUAACAAAGAGGACGGUAGUAGACCAAACAAGAGAAACAAAUGUAAACAUGCACAGCUAUCGCCCACCUGCGUUUCAACACACUUCAGCAUUAGUUAAAAAGCUGGAAGCCGUGCGCAGGAUAUACAAACUAAAAUAAAAACCUGUAAAGCAUGUCGAGACUAAACACAAGCCCCCAUCGUUUACUGCUGCUACAGUCGCCUACACAGGUGGUUCAUGAGAGCUGAAAAAGCAUUUUGUUAGCACGAAGGGGCGAGGGAAAGGCGGGAUAGCACAAGGGAGAGCGGCCAGGAGCGCUUGCAGGGCGUGAGGAGAGGCAAGGAUUCAGAGAAGAGAGCAGCCGCUUUACCGGAACGUGGAGGCAUCGAAGAGGCAUUUAGGAAGGAGAAGGAGGAGCAGAGGAAACAGGUGCAGAAGAGCGAAUAUGGAGAUGAGAGAGAUUUGCUGUAUGUUGUUGCUGGAUUGUAUGCUGGCUGUGGGGAGGAAAGGAACAUCACUCACUGACCUGAAUUCCUGUCCAGAUUAUCAAUGUCAGGCCAAACAGAUUAUCAGGAACUCUUGAAAAAUUGGUAAGAAAAUUUUGCUUUAUA
rnacentral:lncRNA from 1 species